CCAAGCGUUGUCCGGAUUCAUUGGGCGUAAAGAGCUCGUAGGCGGUUCAGUUAGUCGGGUGUGAAAUCUCCGGGCUCAACCCGGAGGGGCCACCCGAUACUGCUGUGACUUGAGUCCGGUAGGGGAGUGGGGAAUUCCUGGUGUAGCGGUGAAAUGCGCAGAUAUCAGGAGGAACACCGGUGGCGAAGGCGGGUCUCUGGGCCGAUACUGACGCUGAGGAGCGAAAGCGUGGGGAGCGAACAGG
rnacentral:rRNA from 1 species